CUCUGUCUCUGGAGCCUUGGGCUGUACCGACAACUGGGGUAAGGGCUCUGGAGAUCCAGAAUGGGCUCUGAUGAGUCGGAGAGUCCAUACACCAGAACUCCCUCCCUGUGCCCCACCCAAGUCUCUGCCUCCUCAGCCCUUCCUUGCUCCCCUAACUGCACCAGGAGCUGUCAGCCCUCCUCCCUCAGAUUAAAGACCCCAGUCCUCCUCCCUCCAAUCUAGAGAUGAAGGCCUCAGACUUGGGUGUCCAAACUCCAAACCUAUUCCAUCAGUCCCAGGAAUCCAGACUCCAGCCCUCUUUCAGACCCAGUGGUCCAGACCCCAAUCUUAUUCCCUCAGUCCCAUGGAUUCAGACCCCAGGCCUCUUCCCUGAGACCCAGGGGUCCAGACUUCAAUCCUCCUUCAGACCCAGGACUCCAGACCGCAGGUCUCUUCCUCCAGCCCUCCUCCCUUAGAUCCAGGGGUCCAGGCCUCAGGCCUCCUCCCUCAGACAAGGUGGGGUCUGCUCCCUGUCUUGGCUCCUAUCCCCACUCCCAGGUUCUUUCCUCUGGGAAGGAAGCAUAUUUACACGGCCAGAUUUGCCCAGAUGUCUGUGAGGAGAGCAGGCUCUGCAGCUUGUGCUCGGCACCUCAGGGCCCACUUACCAUAUACACCCACCGUGAACUCCCGAAUCUGUUGGGAGACUCCUCCUCUGAUGACCUCAACUGUGUACACGCCUGCAUCAUCCAGCCGUGCAGAAAAGAUGUAUGGAGAGGCCUAGAAUGAUCCUCCACUCCUCACCCUCAGGGGAAGGUGGACUCUCAGCUGGAACUGUGGACACCAUGCAGGAAGACUUCCUUCAGGAGUGUCUAAGAAAUCAGAGCCCUUCCUGUGAACUCCCUGCCUGGCUCAGGUUUCUUGCUUUCCACUGUCUUACCUGAAGCUUCUCUGACCCUGGCCCCUUCUGUGACUCCCUGAUGUCCUCAGAAUCAAGUCUCCAGUUGAUGUCUCUGUCGAGACCAUCUCCCCUGAGACCUAGAACUCAAUUUCCAUUGUCCAACACCUGCUAAACUCAGCAUCUCCCCUCUGACCAGCACUUUAGGGUGGCUCCAUUGUCCGUGCAAAGGCUGGGGACCCCUCCCACGGGCUUCCUCCCUGACACUGCCAUCAAUCUCUGGCGCCGCCUAGAUUUCUCUGCCGUUUUCUCCUCUUGGUGCCUACUGCUCAGACCUUAUCAUCUUCACCUACAUCCCCCACCUGCUUCCUGCAAUCUCCUACUCUGGUUAGGACCCCUCCCUGGCCAGCUGACCCUUCCCUCCAUGUGACAGCUUUGCCUGGCUCCACAGCAUCCUCUGCAGACAUUCUCACAGGACCCACCCACUUCUCUGCACUCCAUCCCUUAUCCCCCUGAAUAUGGUGCCCUUCUGAUGCCAUCUCACCUCCCAGCCUUUGCAAGCAUUCUUUUCCUCUACCUGGAAUGCUCUUUCCCCCUCCAGUCUGGCUGCCUCAUAACUGGUCCUUCAGGUCUCACCUCAUUAAUAGCUACAAUAAUAAUGACAACUUAAGUUUAGCCAGGAACUAUGCUAAAUUCUAUCUGUGCGUUAUCAUCAGGAUGAUUUCUUCUGAAUGUCCUGAGCAGGAUGUUUGGUCCUCAUUUGCCAGGCCAAGAGAUGAUGAUGCAGAGAGGUCAGAUUUCCUGUGGGAGGUUACACAGCCAGGAGGAGAGGCUGGUCAGACUGCUUAGUCCUUCAGAAAGCUUUCCUAAUCCCCCUUGAUAGGCUUUAGACCUCUGCUCAGUUCUGAACCUAUGAGACUUAGUAUAGUGCUCAUAUGCUGGUGGGAGGCACCGAGCAUGCUCUAUGUAUCACAUACAGCUCUUUGCUAUGUCAGAAAACUGAAAAAAAAUAUUGUUUUGUUGGGCAUGGUGGAACACGCCUUUAAUCCCAGCACUUGGGACGUAGAGGCAGGCAGAUCUCAGUGAGUUCGAAGCUAUCCUGGUCUACAUAGGGAGUUCCAGGACAGUAGAGAGACCUUGUAUCAAAAUAAUUAAUUAAUUAAUUAAUUAAUGAUAAUAAUAAUGAUGUUUUAAUUUAUUCUUUGAGAAUUUAAUAUAUUUUUAUAUCUUUUCCUGUCCCCCAACUCCUUCCAGAUCUUUUCCAACCUUCUUACUCACUCAUCUUCAUAUUCUUUCUCUCUCAUAAUAUAAAGUAAAAUAAAAUAAAAUAAAGCACAGAGUCCAUUUUG